AACCAACAGGGAUUGCCUUAGUAACGGCGAGUGAAGCGGCAACAGCUCAAAUUUGAAAUCUGGCCUCUUUGGGGUCCGAGUUGUAAUUUGCAGAGGGUGCUUUUGGUGUUGGCCGUGGUCUAAGUUCCUUGGAACAGGACGUCACAGAGGGUGAGAAUCCCGUACGUGGCCGCCGGCCCUCGCCUUGUAAAGCCCCUUCGACGAGUCGAGUUGUUUGGGAAUGCAGCUCUAAAUGGGAGGUAAAUUUCUUCUAAAGCUAAAUACCCGCCAGAGACCGAUAGCGCACAAGUAGAGUGAUCGAAAGAUGAAAAGCACUUUGGAAAGAGAGUGAAAAAGCACGUGAAAUUGUUGAAAGGGAAGCGCUUGCGGCCAGACGUGCCUGCGGUUGAUCAACUGGGCUCCCGCCCGGUGCACUCCUCCGCGGGCAGGCCAGCAUCAGUUUGGGCGGUCGGACAAAGGUCUCUGUCACGUACCAUCCCUCGGGAUGGCCUUAUAGGGGAGACGCAACACGGCCAGCCUGGACUGAGGUUCCGCGCAUCUGCUAGGAUGCUGGCGUAAUGGCAGCAAGCGGCCCGUCUUGAAACACGGACCAAGGAGUCUAACAUCUAUGCGAGUGUUUGGGUGUCAAGCCCGAGCGCGUAAUGAAAGUGAACGGAGGUGGGAACCCCUCGGGGCGCACCAUCGACCGAUCCUGAUGUCUUCGGAUGGAUUUGAGUAAGAGCAUAGCUGUUGGGACCCGAAAGAUGGUGAACUAUGCCUGAAUAGGGUGAAGCCAGAGGAAACUCUGGUGGAGGCUCGCAGCGGUUCUGACGUGCAAAUCGAUCGUCAAAUUUGGGCAUAGGGGCGAAAGACUAAUCGAACCAUCUA
rnacentral:rRNA from 1 species